GAGUUUGAUCCUGGCUCAGGAUGAACGCUAGCGGAACGCCUAACACAUGCAAGUCGAACGGAUUCUGCGUUGUAGCAAUACAUAGUAGAAUUAGUGGCAAACGAGCGAGUAACGCGUGCCUAACCUGCCCUUAAGAUGGGAACAACUACGGAGACGUAGCUAAAUCCCAAUAUGCUCACGAUGGUGAAAUGCCGAUGCGAGGAAAGAUUUAUCGCCUAAGGAGGGGGGCGCGUCCUAUCAGGUAGUUGGUUGAGGUAACGGCUCACCAAGCCUAUGACAGGUAGCUGGUCUGAGAUGAUGUCCAGCCGCGAUGGGACUGAGAUACGGCCCAUACUCCUACGGGAGGCAGCAGUGGGGAAUCUUGCACAAUGGACGAAAGUCUGAUGCAGCGAUCCCGCGUGAAGGAUGAAGCAUUACGGUGUGUAAACUUCUUUUUUGGUGGAAGACGAAUGACGGUACACCAAGAAUAAGAGACGGCUAACUACGUGCCAGCAGCCGCGGUAAUACGUAGGUCUCAAGCGUUAUCCGGAUUUACUGGGCGUAAAGUAUCCGUAGCCUGAUAUGUAAGUCUGUUUUCAAAUCCCACGACUCAAUCGUGGAAAGGGAAUGGAUACUGCAUAUCUAGAAGUUAUUGGGGGUUAGCGGAAUUUCCGGUGGAGCGGUGAAAUGCGUUGAUAUCGGAAAGAACGCCGAAAGCGAAAGCAGCUAACUAUGAUUAACUUGACGGUGAGGGAUGAAAGUUUGGGUAGCAAACGGGAUUAGAUACCCCGGUAGUCCAAACUGUAAAUUAUGCUUGCUAGGUGUUUCGAUCCUUGUGGUCGGAGUGCCGUAAUCUAACGAGUUAAGCAAGUCGCCUGGGUAGUAUAUUCGUGUAGUAUGACGAUCGACCAGAUAUGACGGUGGCCG
rnacentral:rRNA from 1 species